GACGAACCGUGCGAACGUUGUUCGGAAUCACUGGGCUUAAAGGGCGCGUAGGCGGACUGUCCAGUCAGGGGUGAAAUCCUGCGGCUCAACCGUAGAAGUGCCUUUGAUACUGACAGUCUCGAGGGAGGUAGGGGCGUGCGGAACUUCCGGUGGAGCGGUGAAAUGACGUAGAUAUCGGAAGGAACACCGGUGGCGAAAGCGGUGCGCUGGACCUCGUUCUGA
rnacentral:rRNA from 1 species